CUGACCUGUGGUCCACAACCUCCCUGCCAGGUGGAGGUGAUAGACCCAUUUUAUAGAUGAAGAAAAUCUGGUAGAGCUGGUGAGUGGCAGAAUUAGGAAUGGAUCACAGGGUUCUAGACUCAUAAUCCAGUGCUCAUUCCAGGGACUCAGGGGGUUGACCUCUUGGUGCAGGCACCAAGCAAGGUAGAUUUAGUUUGUGUUGUGACCUGAGCAAGAAGAAGGCUCUAUGGACCCACUUUCUGGGAGGCAAAAGGAGAGAGGAAGUGGCAAGUCUAUGUCAGGCCCUUCAAAGUACAUCAUGGUGUCCUUCAUCUGUCACAGUUCCUGCCCCUUCUACACCCUUUCUACAGAGUGCUGCUUGCUCUGCAGCUGGUCCAAGAAGCUUCACCUCCCAGGAGCACCAGACAGAUGAUCUCCUGUUUACAGUGGUUCCAGGAGCACCAACCCCAAGGAUGAGUUAUAAGCAGGUCUCUAAAGAGAUUUUAGGAGAAGCUGCUAAAAUGGUGGCAAAGCUCUUUAGAAACAUAGAAGUAUGAACCUUUUUAUGGGGAGAACUUAUAAGAGUUUGGAGAGGUCUUCCAGGAUGAAAAAUGAAAAAGAGGAGAAGGGGAUGCCAUUUGCUCAAGGCUGCUGGAACGCUAGGCUGGCUCUGGGACUAUCACGAAAAGUUUCUAACCCCCCGCCACGGCUCUUCUCACAACACAAGAAUGAGCUCAGAGAGGUUAAUGAACCUGCCAAAGACCCCAGCUGAGAGACUGAGUUGGUUUGCAGAUUCCAAAGCCCACAUUCAUUCCAUUUUAUCUCAUCUUUAGUGGACUUUGAACAUGCCUCAGCCUUCACCUUGACCCUUGGUGAAGGUGCUGAGAACCAAGACCCAGUGCAGCGGUGUCUCUGGAACCUCCUGGAGCUCAGCAGCCGACUCCCAAACCUGGAGGUCCUCACUCUGCACCCUGUGCUCUGCCCUCUGGCUGAUCCUCAGCAUUCCCAGGCAGCCUGGCUCCCUGUAAAGUUGUUUAAACUUCUGUUUAUCAUCAUCUUCCAUCAUUUCUAAUUGUUUUCCUGUGUCCCUUUCUUUUGUAGAGGAUAUAAACUCAGCAUUUUAGCUUUUGAAAUAGAUUUGCUGUGCAGUUUCAUGGCUCUUUAGUGGCUUAAAAUGUAUUGUUCUGUGAGUCUUUCUGUGCCCGUCACAGCAUUCACUGUGGGAAGCAGCAGGACGCCAGCGAUGCUGAUGUUUAUUUGAUUUUAGGGGACUUUAAGGCAUUCCUGGGACCAUACGGAUUCUAAAUAUUCUGCCUCAUUGUCUUCAGAAGCUACUAAAAUAUCCUAGAAAUGAUCAUGUUUCAGCAUGUAAGCUACAUAUUUCACGUUACCUCUUGUAUCCAUCCAUACAUAGCCUCUAUCAAGAGCCUGGCAUAAGCCAAUGUAAUGGUUCUGAAAUGGUAACCACAUGGUUCUUCAAUCACUAAAACCCUUUCCACUCUGAGAUUGGACAUUCAUUGCUAUUUUCUGCCAGGGCUUUGAUUUACAAGACUGUCUAUGAGUUCUGUGUUUAAUAUACAGAACUGGCUGCCCUCAAUGCAUGAGACUUCCUGGUAUUUUUUUCAUGUGAUUAGAUGGAUUACAUUUGUUUCAUAUUUAUUGUUUAGAUAUACAAGUAAUCCUCACUUUGCACAGUGUCAUGUCUGCAUAUUGAAACCCUAUACUCACUUUGUGCAAUCCUUUGGUAAGUGCAAAGUGAGAACACAGGUCUGAUAUGUACAAGUUUCAGUGAACAUGGUACUAUGCAUCAUGAAGACUAUCUGAAGUUGCUUUCAAAUAAAAUUUGGAUAAGGAC
rnacentral:lncRNA from 10 species